rnacentral:tRNA from 1 species
UGGCAUGUACAGGCUGGUCAGCCUCUUCGGCUUCCAGUGCCGUGUCGUGCUGAGCGAAGGUGAUGGUGUUCGAGUCGUCGCCAGGCUGC